rnacentral:rRNA from 1 species
GAUGAACGCUGGCGGCGUGCUUAACACAUGCAAGUCGAUCGGUGAAGGCGGAGCUUGCUCUGCUGGAUCAGUGGCGAACGGGUGAGUAACACGUGAGCAAUCUGCCACUGACUCUGGGAUAAGCGCUGGAAACGGCGUCUAAUACUGGAUACGAGCUGCGAAGGCAUCUUCAGCAGCUGGAAAGAAUUCCGGUCAGGGAUGUGCUGGCGGCCUAUCAGCUUGUUGGUGAGGUAAUGGCUCACCAAGGCGACGACGGGUAGCCGGCCUGGGAGGGUGACCGGCCACACUGGGACUGGGCUGCGGCCCGGACCCGUACGGGAGGGAGGGGUGGGGAAUAUUGCACAAUGGGCGGAGCGAUGGUGCAACAACGCCGCGUGGGGUAAGACGGGCUUCGGUUUGUAAACCUCUGUUAGCUGGGAAGAAGCGAAAGUGACGGUACCUGCAGAAAAAGCGCCGGCUAACUACGUG